GGUUUGAUGGCAUAUUGGUUAUCGAGUCUGUAGUAGUGAUCAAGGGUGCUUGCAUGUUUCAUACAAGGUCCCUGGUUCAAGCCCGGGUCGAACCA